rnacentral:rRNA from 1 species
CCUGGUUGAUCCUGCCAGUAGUCAUAUGCUUGUCUCAAAGAUUAAGCCAUGCAUGUCUAAGUACAAGCCUCACUAAGGUGAAACCGCGAAUGGCUCAUUAAAUCACACCUAAUGUACUGGACAGUCUCAGUUACUUGGAUAACUGCGGUAAUUCUGGAGCUAAUACAUGCGUACUAGCCGCGACUCACGGAGCGGUGCUUUUAUUAGAUCAAAACCAAACGGCCUCGAGCCGUCCCCCUGGUGAUUCUGAAUAACUUUGGGCUGAUCGCACGGACUCGUUCCGGCGACGUGUCCUUCCAAGGUGUGCCCUAUCAACUGUCGACUGUGGCAUAGACGCCCACAGUGGUUUUGACGGGUAACGGGGAAUUAGGGUUCGAUUCCGGAGAGGGAGCCUGAGAAACGGCUACCACUUCUACGGAAGGCAGCAGGCACGCAAAUUACCCACUGGCCGAAGGCCGAGGUAGUGACGAAAAAUAACGAUACCGGACUCAUCCGAGGCCCGGUAAUCGGAAUGAGUACACUUUAAAUCCUUUAACGAGGAACAAUUGGAGGGCAAGUCUGGUGCCAGCAGCCGCGGUAAUUCCAGCUCCAAUAGCGUAUAUUAAAGUUGUUGCGGUUAAAAAGCUCGUAGUUGGAUCUCGGCGGGCAGGGGGUGGUUCGCUCUUCAGCGCUACUGCCCCGCUUUGCCCGUGUGAUUGGCGGAGGUUUCGGGGUGCUCUUCGUUGAGUGACUCGGAGCGCCGUCAGGUUUACUUUGAAAAAAUUAGAGUGCUCAAAGCAGGCUUUUCACGCUUGAAUAUUCGUGCAUGGAAUAAUGGAAUAGGAACUCGUUUCUAUUUUGUUGGUUUUCGGAAAUCGAGUUAAUGAUUAACAGGGACAAUUGGGGGCAUUAGUAUUCAGACGACAGAGGUGAAAUUCUUGGACCGUCUGAAGACUGACUACUGCGAAAGCAUUUGCCAAGAGUGUUUUCAUUAAUCAAGAACGAAAGUUAGAGGUUCGAAGGCGAUCAGAUACCGCCCUAGUUCUAACCAUAAACGAUGCCAGCUAGCGAUCUGCCGAGUUUUUUUUGUAGGCUCCGCAGGAAGCUUUCGGGAAACCAAAGCUUUUGGGUUCCGGGGGAAGUAUGGUUGCAAAGCUGAAACUUAAAGGAAUUGACGGAAGGGCACCACCAGGAG